GACCAACUAGUUCAGUGGUCGAGCGCUCGCUUCAAAAGCGUGAAGCUCGUGGUUCGAUUCCACCCUCGAGGACU